GCCUGAGUGGCUCAGUCGGUUGAGCGUCCGACUUUGGCUCAGGUUCAUGAUCUUGUGGUUUGUGAGUUUGAGCCCCGCAUCAGGCU
rnacentral:tRNA from 1 species